CUGGCCUGUCCUCACCUCCUGGGGUCCCGACGUCUUACUCUGGGGCGAGGGAGCGCGCAGGCCGGGAAGCAAUGGCCGCAACUAAAGGCCCAGGAGGCUGGCGGCCUGGUCAGCUUCCCCGGAGCAGAGCAGCGGCCCGGGGCGUGCGGGGCUGGGAGCGCGCGGCUGCGGCCCGGCCCGGCCAGGCCCGCGGGCGGGCUCGGCGCGGAGCUCGGCGCACACCCCGGCGGGAGGACCGCGCCGGGCUCGGAGCCGCGCACGGGCGGGACCUCACGGGGCACUUCUAGGAGCGCUGCAGCCUGGUGGUCGCGGCACCGGGCAGGGCCGCAGCCCCUCCGGCUCCCCACCUCCCGCGCUCCCCGGGCGCGCCCCCGCCGCGCCGGCACCCCGGGGACAGGGCGGGCCCCCAGGGUCGGUCCCGCCUCCGGCAGGGCGGGCGGGGGCCCCACGUCAGCCACCCCGAACUCCCAGGCGCGGGGACGCCCCGGCCCGAGCCAGGCUGGGCGCGCGGGGGCGGGGGGCGCGGGGGGCCUCGGGGGACGCGGGGCGCGGGGGGCGCGGGGGGCCUCGGGGGGCGCGGGGCGGGGGCGCGGGCGCGGGCGGGGGCGCCCCGCAGGGGCCGGCAGGUGGGCGCGCGCUCGCGGGCGGGGGUCCGGCGGGCCGCGCGCCUCCCCCGGAACUCGGCCGUGCCAUUCCCAUGAUGCCCAGCCACCGGGCACGGCUUCCGGAGCGCGGCCGCCGGUAGGUCCGGGAGGGGGCGCCGCCGCCGCCCGCGUCCGCCCGCCCGCCCCGCCCCCGGCCCCGGCCCCGGCCCGCGCCCGCCCGCCGCCUCCCCGGCCGCGCCCGCCCCGGGCCCCCGCCCUCCCCUCUCUUCCCCGGGGCGCGCGCGGGCGGCGGGCCGGGGGCGGCGGCGGGCGGGGCGAGCGCGGCCGGGCCAGGCGCGGGGGGAGCGCCGGGGCCGCCGCCCGGCGGGGGCGGGGGCGGGGGCGGGGGCGGGGCGGGGCGGGGGUGCGCCCCCGAGGCGGCCCCGCGUCCCUCGGAGCCCGCGGCGCGGGCGGGCCCAGGUGCGCGCAGGUGAGGCCCCGCGGCGGGCGCUUCCGGCCUGGCGUCCCCGCCCCCCCGCGCCCCCGACCCUCCGGCGGAAAGGCGGCCCCGCCCCGCCCCGGCCGCGGCUUCCGGGAGGGUCGCGGGCCCGGCCGCCUCGUCGGCCCCCACCCCCACCCCCGGCGCCCGGGGCCCCGCGCAUCCCCGGCGCAGACCCGGGCGCAAGCCGGCCCGCCCCGCGGGAGGUGCUCGCGCUUACCUGGCCGGGCGCCCCGGGGCUGGGGGCGGGGGCCUGGGUGCCAGGGGUCAGAGGGCCGGCGGGGGGGGGGGGGGGGGGCUCGCCCGCCGCGCCCCCAGGCGCAGACGCAGGCCGGGCGGCUUCUCCCGGUGAGAGGUCGCGGCGACCCCGCAGAGCUCCCCUCCCGCAGGCCACGCCCACUCCGGGCGCCCCGGGCUCCCCGGCCCUCCUCCGGCCCUGGCACCCUGACCCUCGCCUCCCUCACCCAGGGGCGAAGCUGCCGCAAGAGGGAAGAACGGGAGCUGGACCGCCUUUUGGAGCUUGUUUUUUGCAUCAAGAGUGAAAUGACCCACGAAGUCUCACUAAGCUUAGAUUCACAUAGUCAUUCUGUUUAACCCAUGAGGAAGCACGUCUGGACUUGAUCUCUCGCCGGCACCUCUUGACAGCCUUCACUGUAGAUAAAACCUCAAUUCUCUUACCAAAAAGAUGGAAGGCCAGAGUAGGGACACAGGACAGGAAGGGACCGUGGCGUGUGCUUCUGUGUAAGUGCGGUGCCUGUGGCUCAGAGCGGUUCCCUCCUCGGUCUCCACAGCCGGCGCUUCCCCUGCAGCUGAGCACACCGAAGCCUAGGAAGCAUGAGUGACCUGCCCGGCACCCCCAGCUUACCCGGCAUCGGCUUCUGACCCGGCCCUCUGGACUCUAGCCCGGUACACUGUUCCUCGGCGGCCGUGUGUGCCAGCAGGGUAGCAUCCUACCAACAUCCUCUCUUUCCUCGCAAGAUGUGAAACAGGCAGAAAAAUAAAGAAUCACCUCUCUGCAC
rnacentral:lncRNA from 1 species